UAAGCAUAUAAUUAAGCGGAGGAAAAGAAACUAACUAGGAUUGGUCCAGUAACGGCGAGUGAAGCGCCAGUAGCCCAGGUUGGGAAUCGGCACUCGUGUCGAAUUGUGGAAUGCCGCUCGGUUCGUCCAGCCCGUGGACCAAGUCCCCUGGAACGGGGCAGCAGAGAGGGUGAUACUCCCGUAGGUCUACAAGCGCGAGGGCCGAGCAGAGAGUCGAGUUGUUUGGGAUUGCAGCUCUAAGCGGGUGGUAAAUUCCAUCCAAGGCUAAAUACUGGAGAGAGACCGAUAGCAGACAAGUACCGUGAGGGAAAGAUGCAAAGCCGCGCGAGAGCGCUGUUAAAGAGUACCUGAAAUUGCUGCAACGGAAGCGAAGGAAACCAGUGUGAGCCUCCCUGCACUUCCCUAUUUGCCUGCAGAUAGGGCGCUGCGGCUGGUGUUGUCCGAGUUGCUGGUACGCGGUGGAUGCCGAAGGCGCUGCUUGCUAGCCAACGUGGACGAAAUGGUUUUCUUUUUCCCGUCUUGAAACA
rnacentral:rRNA from 1 species